rnacentral:rRNA from 1 species
GACGAACGCUGGCGGCGUGCUUAACACAUGCAAGUCGAACGGAAAGGCCCUGCUUGCAUGGUACUCGAGUGGCGAACGGGUGAGUAACACGUGGGUGAUCUGCCCUGCACUUCGGGAUAAGCCUGGGAAACUGGGUCUAAUACCGGAUAGGAGCCAUUUUUAGUGUGAUGGUUGGAAAGUUUUUUCGGUGUAGGAUGAGCUCGCGGCCUAUCAGCUUGUUGGUGGGGUAAUGGCCUACCAAGGCGGCGACGGGUAGCCGGCCUGAGAGGGUGGACGGCCACAUUGGGACUGAGAUACGGCCCAGACUCCUACGGGAGGCAGCAGUGGGGAAUAUUGCACAAUGGGCGCAAGCCUGAUGCAGCGACGCCGCGUGGGGGAUGACGGCCUUCGGGUUGUAAACUCCUUUCGCUAGGGACGAAGCUUUUGUGACGGUACCUAGAUAAGAAGCACCGGCUAACUACGUG